rfam:Beta vulgaris subsp. vulgaris chromosome 7, whole genome shotgun sequence.
CCCCUUGACCCUGAAGAUGUCACUAACUAUGUCUUUGAUGGUCUUGACUUAGAUUAUAAACCUCUCAUUGAUGCCAUUCAGGCUUGUGAUAACCCCAUAUCCAUUGAUGAACCACAUGAAAAGCUCCUUCGACA